GUGUUUGACUGGUGGCGUUGUUUUCAACUGACAGCACUGCUGCUUGGAACCAAGAGCCGCCCUGCUUACACAUCAGCGGACCGCCAGACUCACCCUGAACAAACAAGCCAGACGGGUAUGGUAAAAUGACUGGAAUUAUACCAUCCAUGACAUCACUCCAGGUGUCUCACCUUGAGAAGCAGUUGGCGUUGCUCAACACAGCGUCCACAGCCACCAGAGUCCCACCACACACAUGACUUCCAUUCUUCUGUAGGCUCGCCAUCCAUGGCCACACACCAGCUGUCGCCACCGAGCUUCCUCCCAAAAUACGUGAAUUCAAUGGGGCUCUGCCGCAGACCACAGCUGGAGAGAGAAGCAAAAGGACGAGGACCAGGGCGAGGACCAGGGCGAGGACCGGGGCGAGGACCGGGGCGAGGACCGGGGCGGCGUGAUAAACAGUUUCACUCUGUUCUACUGAUCGACAGUUGGUGGCAUUAACGCACAAACUAACGUAGAGAGAAGAAGACUGCUUGCAGCCAAACAUGGAUGUAAACAAUGCAUAAUUUCAAAUAUUUAAAAAAAUCAGCUUUGCAAAUGUUUAAUGAAGAAGAUA